rnacentral:lncRNA from 10 species
UCUCAACUGUUGAGAUAUAAGGUUACCUUUCUGUCUUUGUAACUUCCAGAUCUUCAUAAAAGGAAAUCGCAAAAUUAAAAUUUCAACCAUAAAGGUGAAAGAAUUGUGUAAAAUAAGCUCUGAAGUUUCCUUAAAAUCUAACAUUUUAUAUUGUAGAUGACCAGUAGGUUUUAGAUUAUUGCACUGGAUAUUAACAUUUUAAUUCUUCCAAUUUGUUGGAUACUUAGCCGAACAAUUUAUAUUGAAAAUAACAAGAGAUUUUAAAAUCAUGUAUAUCUGACUUACCCUUUGGCUUGGAGAAACAGACACAGGUCAAUUAUAGAUUAUUCAUUUGUUAUUUUAAUUAAAUUAUAUGGACUGUGGCUUGCUAAUGCUCAAGACAGAAAAUGAAAGUGUUUUCUGCCCUUUUCCCUACACUAAGGGAUUAUUGAGAUAAUGACCUAAUAGUCUGGGUUGUGUAUAUGUCAGAAAAACUUCAUUUUAUUAAUAAGUGAUACUACAGAUACUGCCCAUUUAUUAUAUUGAUAGCAGCUGUGGAUAUGAGAAGAGUGGACCUAUAUAUGUCCAUAUAUAGGUAUAACCAAUAUAUAUGUAUAACAUAUAUAUGUCCAUAUAUAUGUAUAACCAAACCACAGGUGUUUUUUUGGAAGUCAUAUUAUACAGGGAGUUGACAGAGGUGUGAGCUGGACUUUAAGAAGCUGCACAUAAGAUGCUAGUAUGAUCAAGCUGGAAUGGACUUAGACAAUUUGAAACAACUUUUCUCAGUUUUCAGAUGAGGAAACUGACGGGUACCAAGCUUAAAUGACUUGACGAAGCUCAUAGAAGAUUAGCAGGUAGUAGAAUAAUGACUGCUGACUCCUAAUUCAGUGGAUCUUCCCUGGCCACCGUUUUGUAUUGAGCUGCAAUGCUUCCUUGACUGUUCUCCAUGCCAGAUUCUUAUCAAUGAUCUUUCACCUAAGAAACAGCAAAGAUUCUGGCAAGCACACGAUCUAGAGAUACAUCUUAUUGCGAUUUUUCACAAAAAUCAAAAGAAGAAAGAAGGCUUAGCUGGUGUUUAAUUAUUGUUAUUUUUUUCAAUAGGGAAAUCUGUACACAAUGAUUUAUCUCCAGUGAUUUGCCAUUGAUCAAUUUUUUUCUCAUUUCAUUUUCUAUUUUUUUGUUUUUUGUUUUUCUUUAUUUUUUAUUUUUUUCUCCUUUUUCUUUUUUUAAAUUUUCUGUUUAUCACAAAUGAUCAUGUAAUUAUAUGUUAAUACUAUGUAACCCCAGUGUUUUCAACUGUUUGUGAUUCAAUGUUACCCAGUUUUCUUUUCUUAAUUUUAAAUAAAUUUGAAAAAUUAUCUUAGAGUGUUUUGAGCCUGUGUUGGUACAUUUAGUUCUAGUUCAUUGUGGUAAAUCCACUUCAGUUUCUAAGUUUCCACCCUUUAGUAAAGACAUAUUUCUAAAUUUGGUUUAUAUCCUCAGUUACAAAAGAUUCUAACUGCUAGUUUUGUGACAGCAAUCACACAUACCAUCAAGGGAUGGGGCAGGCAGUUUUGGAAUGUGCUGAUGCUAGCAUUUUUAUAAGCCUAUGGCUUUUAUAGUCUAAAUUGUUCUUAUUUCUAUUAAUGCUUCAAUUUUUGACAAACACACAACCAUAGAAACAAAUAAUAAAUUUGUUUUUUGGGAAUUAUCCAGGAUUCUUGGUUAAGUGGGGAAUUUAGGCUUUGACAGCAUAAAGGAUCACGGAUAAGUAUUUUUCACGGUGGCUCUAAUUAUAAUGCUGAGCAUGUGGCAGGCACAGAAAUAUUUACUCAUUGACUGAAUAUAGCACAUCGUAAUGUUGAUUUUUUUCCAACAUAAUUUUAGAGCUAGGCAUAUUGUAUUCUAUUACACUAGACUAUAUAUCAUUCUUAAAUAGAACCAGCCUUGCUAGAUAACACAUGUUGGAGGAGAGGCCCUUCUUCUUAGCCCUCAGUGUUUCCAUCUAUGGGGAAGAAGUUCCACCAUACUAACAUUACUAUCGUCUCUCCACCUGCUCACUCACUUCUCCCCAAGGGAGGGGUGUUCGAUAUGGUUUCUGAGCUUGGAAAGAAAACUCAGGCAUGUGUAACAUGGUUCCUUCAGUCCCAUGACCCACUGUCCACAAAUGGGCUGCUCACAGAGUGCAUGCCUUCACCCUUGUUCCUGGCCAUGCAGGAAAUUGUAUGAAACAGUCCUAGCUGAAGCCUGAGAUUUUCCUGCAUUGCCUAGUCCUGGUGGGUAUCUGUCUACUCCUGGAGUUUGGAUUGGAAAGUCCACAUGCCUGAAGGUAUAAACCUAUUCUACAAAGGGGUGUUUUCUAGAAUGAAGGUAAUAUUUUUAUCUUACAUUUGCAGAAAGAGACAGAACAAUGUUAUAGGUGAGUGCAUGGACAAUGACCUCAAACAGCUAAGAUUCAAACCCCUGCGUUGAAUGAUUGAAUUGAAAUGAUUCAAUGAGCUAAUGUACAUAAAGCAUCCAGAAUGUUGCCUGGCACAAGGUAAAUGCUCUACAAAUGUCUGAUAUUAAUGUUAGCCUUUUGUUUCCCCGUUCAGUUGGUUCAGAACGUAGACAUUAUGUACUGGCUCUGCCUCACACCUCAAUAACAGAGAUUUCUUAAAGAAUAACUUAUAAACUCUUUUCAACUUCAAAUCACUCCGUGAUUAGGCUUAUCUUAUACCUUACUAGUUCUUAGCACCAGAAUUAUUUUUCCAAUUGUAGAACUAAUCAUGUUUCUCUGAAAUUCUUAAUUCGUGCAGACCUCUCAGUGGGGCUUCAAACUCUCACAGUCAGACCUCAGCAUACGUUUCCAGCCUUGUCUUCCUUACACACUGUGCUUUGGCACGAGUCUACCAUUGCUCACGGUUCCUGAAUCACAUGCAGUCUUCACACCAUGCAGCUUUGCUCUUUCUGCUUUGAGGGCUUUCCCCCUGCUCUGCUUGAUAGAUCAGAGCCCACCCUUCAUGGCCCAGCUCACAGGCCUACUCCUUUGUGAAACCUUUUCUUCUUACUCCCCAUUCAUGGAGGCCUCAUCUGUUGUGAAAGCAAAAGAACAUCUCAUUGCUGCUGUAACCCUUACUCACUUGAAUUUUAUGAAAAUUACGUGAACUCUGAGCUUCUGAAGGUCUUGGCCAGAGGGUCAGGUUCUCUUUACUUUUGUAUACUCAUCUCACCCAGCCCCUAACACAGUGACUUGCUCUUCAAUGAUUACCCAAGUAUGAGUCCAUCAAGGAAUUCUAUCAGAGUCUUUUCCAAAAUACCAACCAAACACAUCUACCUCUUUCCAUCUCCAUCUGAUCACCAUUAUCUCUGACUGGGUCUACUGUGGAAGCCUCCUAAAUUUUCUCCCUGCCUCUGUGCUGGCCCUAAUUUGGGUUAUUCCCUAAAUGGCCAUUGGAAUAAUGGAGUUAAGAUAUAAACCAAAUUAGGUUACCUCCCCACAUAAUACUGAAACCUCAAUUUUGAUCUUUCUGCACCUGCCCCUCUUUCACAUCUCAUAUUUUAUAAUCCCCCAUCUGCACCCUCACUCACUGAACUCUACUGACACUUCUCUCCUUUUCUCCUUUUGGUUUCUCAGACAGCCCAAACUUUUCUCAACCUCAGUCUCCUGCACACUCUUUUCCUUCUCCAUGAAAUGCUUAAGUCUUAACUUUUUUUUUUUUUUUUGACAGGGUCUUGCUCUGUCUCCCAGGCUGGAGUGCAAUGGCAUGAUCAAAGUUCACUGCAGCCUUGACCUCCUGGGUUCAACCAAUCCUCCUUCCUCAGCCUCUCACGUUGGUGGGACCACAGGCAUGCACCACCAUGCCCAGCUAAUUUUAAUUAUUUUUUUUUAGAGACAGGGUGUCACCAUCUUGCCCAGGUUUGUCUAGAAUUUCUGUGCUAAAGUGAUCUUCUCACCUUGGCCUCCCAAAGUGCUGGGAUUACAGGCCAUGAGCCAUGAUCUAGGCCAUGACUAGAUAUUGUUGUCCUUUAAGUUUCAGAUUACAAACCUCCUCCUAAGACACCCCGGCCCUCAGUCUAAGUUGAACACCCCCUCUGCGUAAUUCAUUAUACUGUGUAGUUGUAACCCUCAGAGCCUCAUUGUUUUUUUCACUGCAUUCAUAAGGAUUGGUAACAAUCUUUCUUCAGUGUGGGUUUUCCAAUGGUAUUAUCUGUUUUCUCCACUAGGCUAAAACUCCAUGAUGGCAGGAAUGAAGCCCAUCUUGUUAUCACUGUGUCCUGAGAAAUGAGCACAAACAGGAUGCAUGAGAGAACUGUGCUCAGUAAAAAACAGUUCACAGAUAGACUCUGAGGUCUUAAAAAUUCUCCAAGCAGAAACAGGACCCAGAGAGUACCUGGUUAAAGUCCUUCAUUUUACAAAGGGGAAAAUCAAGAUCCAGGACUUGUAAUGAGUUCUCCUAAUGCCCCAAGUCAGUGUCUGCCCAAAGGUCUCUGGUUUUUAGGGUAUCCUUCAUUAUCAAGUUCUCUUGCUUUAGGCUUCUGGAAACUAGCCAAUAACUGUAGAUUAUUAAUAAAGUAAUAUAACAGGAAAAUCAAAUGCUUCCUACACAACCUUUCACUGAGAAAUGAAAGCAAAGCCUAAGGAAAUGCCAUCUGACUAAUUUCUAACCAAUGCAAAUCUUCUCUCUUAGUCACCCCUAACAAAAAUGUCAAUGUUCUAUAAGCACAGUGAGAGGUGCCAAGGCCCAAGGCAGCUUUUUAGAUCUGCUCUGCCUCACAGAAGGGUCUAGGAUCUACUGCACAGUGGAGUGGCUCAGAGUUGCACUUGUUUAUUGGGCAAAUAGAGAAAAUCCAGAACCUUCAACAAACACCCUCUUUCUUCUAUGCCGUGGAGGGUUUUCUACCAUUAUCUGUGGCAUAUUUGUUAAUUGGUUGCCUUUAUUCAUGUUCCUGCUUCUUUUCCUCUUCAAGCCUCAAUGUUGUCAUCUCUAAAAUAGAGUGAUUGAUAUUGGCAGUCUUUUUAGCCUUGGCAUUCUUUGACCAGGAUUCUCCAAACAGAAACAAGAUCUAGAGAGUACCUGGUCCUGUUUCUGCUGUACAGUUAGUUCUCAACUUCAAAGGAUAAAUAUGAUUUGCUGAGCACAUUACUUAGGAUCUACCAUGCAUGGGAAAUUAGAUAAUCAUUUCAGCUCCUAAUUGCAUCCUCUAUUGUCCUGAGCAAGUAUAAGAUGCUGGUGAAUCCUGGAGCUAACACUUAGGUUUUCUGUUCCUUAGGACUGUAUUGUCUGCUAGACCAUUUAUUCAAAGUGGGAGGAUGAUGUUCUAAAAGCCAAUGAUAAAGCUCAUGGCAAUGCAGGGUAUAUCUGAUGGCAUGGAAUGCUUUAGGAUGGCCAAGAUUGCCCAUCAAAUGCCAAGUCACCGAAGGUACUCAUUUAUUCUAAAAAUAUCCACUAAGCAACCCUUUCUAAUAUGUGUUGUUCUAGGUUCUGGGAAAUAAGAAAUCAUUAGAAAAAGAUUUCUGCCUUCUAGAAGUACACAGUCUAAUGGUGAGAUAGGCAGGUAAGCUAUUACAACACAGUGAGAUAUGCACACGAGUAAAGCUGUUUUUCUUUGGUGUGCUCACAGUAAAGGGUAUAACUAACUCCAUCUGUGGGCUUCAGAAAGGGCUUCCCAGAGGAGGAUAUUUGAACUAGCUCUUGAAGGAUGAGAAAGAGUUUGCUUCAUAGAGAUAAAGGAGAGGAUAACAGCAGGUAGCAAAGCAGCAGUACACAAAGGUACUGAGUCCAGGCCUGGUCUCCUUUGGAAAUGGAGGAGGAGUAUAAGAGAAUUUUGUGGUAACAUCAGUAAGGAAAAAGAUGAAGGAGGGAGAGUAGAAAUGAGGCUGGAUGGGCGGUUUUGGAGGCCAACUGAGGAGGGUCUUACAUGCUAUGUUAACAGGCCUAGACUUCAUUCUAUAUGCAAACAGGGAGAUCCGGACUAAUGAGGGGUAUGUGUGUGUCCUUGUAUGUGCAUGUGCACGAAGGUGACAUAAUCAGGUAUGACUUUUAGAUGAUACUUGGUGACAAAGGAAGGGUGGAGAAUGUAAACUAGAGAAGCCUGGGAUAAUAUGGCUGCUUGGGAAUGGUGAGAAUUCUGGCAGCUGCAUUGCUGAUGAGUAAAGUGGAGGGAAGCUUUGGAAAAGUGUUUAGGGCCAAUCAGUAGAAGGUCAUACAUUCAUACUAAAGGGUUUGUUUCAAUAAGUAUAGCUAAAGAAUCCCACUCAUAGCUUUUUUUCCUGUGGUUUACAUGACAGUUAUUAAUGGCUCUCCUACUAGGAGCCUGACAUCAUGGUGAGCAUCGAGAAAGGAAUAACCUAAGCUGAAGACACGCCUUUUCAGGAGGCCAAGUUCCACGUUCUGUGCAUGCUUUUGGCGAAAGUCAGGUAAAGCCUCCAGAAAUGCAUGGUCUAUUCUCUCGGACCAUAUGGCUGUGGGCAAACUCUGGCUUCUUGGAGCCUCCAUUAGCCACCUAGGGAAAGGUAAUUGGCUUUAUGUUUGGCUCCAUCACUGCUGGCGACAAGCUCCACUGCAUUCUCAAGCAGUAGAUGAAAUACAACUGUGCUCCUGAAUGCAGCAAAGGAAAGAGAACCCAACUGGACCAGUGUGAAAUUGGGACCUUUGGAGGCAAGAAUGCACAUAUUUAUAAAUGAAUAAACAUAAUUUUUCUCUCUUCUUCCCAUUGGCAGCAUAUCUGAAGGCCCUGACUCAACAGUAGUGGGUCUUAAUGCUUGUGCUUGUCCACCCUUCUCGGCAGUGAUUGAUUUCAUUGUUGGCUUGUUUUCAUGACUUGAAUGUGCGAUCUUCAGAGGGCCUAAUUCCUUGCAAGUUCCAUUUGAGGGUGGAAGAGCUAGAACAAGCUAUAACCAGUAGACAACUCCGUGACUCAGGAGCUUAAGCAUGUGACUAAUUAGUAAGAAAAAAUGUGGUGAAGAUUUGUAGUUAAUAAGAAGGAAAGAAGAAUCACUGGGGCUAGAAUUAUGCAAGCUUUUGUUUCCUUUUGGGACUAUAUCAGAACUAUGAGAGAAGAAAGGCUACCUUUUACCUUUGAGGAAUUUUCAAAGCCUUUUUUUUUUUUUUUGGUUGGUUUGUGACUGACAAAGGGCACAAUUUCAACACCUCAGAAAAAUGCCUCAUCAUUUCCUCUUGUGAAAUCUGGGUGCUUCUGAAUGAAUCCAUGUUAGGAAUGUGUACUUCCAUCCAUUAAAGUCAAUGUCCAGUCUCAUUUUGGGCCAGAGGCUGUUACUAAGUUGUAGUACUGGUGAGAAAAGGACAGAGCAUUUACCUUCCCUGGGUAUCCUGUGACCUACAUGUGUCCUUGCAAGGCAGGGAAAUGUUACUAAUUAAGAGCAUAGCCUUUCGUCAGAUGGGUUCAGAUCCUAACACAUCCUCUUUCUGGUUACAGGACAGUCCUCUCUGAGCCUCAGUUUUCUCAUCUCUAAGAUGAGGCUAAUUAUACCUACUUCCCAGGGGGGUACUAAGGAUAAAGUAACAACACAAGAAAAUUUUUUAUCCUUGAUUUUCUUAGCUGGAAAAUUAGGCUAGAAAGACCUCCAUCCUUGGGGUAUUUAAAAUAAAAGGACAAACAUAUGAUGAGUCUAAGUGAUCAAUACAUUGUGGCUUUUGUACUUACUAUUCUGAAACAUGGGUGUGGCCUAGAUACUUUCCAAAAUUCUGCCCUCUCCACCUAGCAAAAUGACAACCAGACUUACAGAUAUGCCAACAAGCUAGUGUUUAAUAAUGGUGUUUGAUGAUAAAUGGCAUUUCUUUUCGACAUUUGUCUCUUUUUAAAACUUGGUGCUCUUAAAUGCAUCAUUGGAUAAGUGAUGACUGUUCCCAUUCGCAAGAAGAGACCUGGAAUCUAAGCAUGAAGGACCUGUCCUGAUGUUGAGAAGUGUGGAUCACAUUUAUUUGUAAACUUAGCUUCUUGCUCGUCUCAUGGUUGCUUUUUUUUCUUUUUCCUUUUUCUUUUUUUUUUUUUUUUUUUUUUUUUUUUUUUUGAGAGGGAGUCUCACUCUGUCACCCAGGCUGGAGUGCAGUGGUGUGAUCCCGGCUCACUGCAACCUCCACCUCCCGGUUUCAAGCAAUUCUCCUGCUUCAGCCUCCCCAGAAGCUGGGAUUACAGGCACGUGCCACCAUACCCGGCUAACUUUUUUUUUUUUUUUUUUUUUUUUUUGGGAUUUUUAGUAGAGAUGGGGUUUUGCCAUAUUGGUCAGGCUGGUCUCGAACUCCUGACUUCGUGGUCCGCCCACCCGCCUCAGCUUCCCAAAGUAUUAGGAUUACUGGCGUGAGCUACCGCGCCUGGCCUUAUGGUUUUUCUCAUUUUUUCUUCCCUUCCUCCCUCGAUUCCUUUGUUCCUUUUACUCUACCAUGCCUACUGUAAAGAAUAAACAAUAGAUUGGAUCUACUCUCAAGAUGCAGGAUAGAGAAAACCAUCAUUUAUUAAAUGGCAUCUACACCGCAGGCUUUGUACCAGGCACACACUCCACUGUUCCCAGUUAUCCCUUACUGCACCCCUAGAGGUAUAUGUUUUCCCAGAAAAGAUAAACAAGUUGCCCAAAGUCACAUAUCACAUAGCUAGCAAGCGAACAUGGGGCUGAAAUAAAACACUGCCCAAUUCCAAAAUCCAUAUACUUGUUUCUUCAUGUUUCCCUAUGAAAAUGGCAAAGGUGAGGAGUGUGUGGUGUGUGUGCGUGUGCGCGUGCAUGUGCGUGUGUGUUUGCACAUGGAAAAUUCCAAAUAUCACAACUUCUCUAUAGACACUAGACUCAUUCUUUGGCUAUGGCUGUGUCCGUUAUCCCAAACUCUAUCUUUACCCCAGUUUUUACACUUGCAAAAGUAGAGAAACUUUAAGGUCCACCAGCUUUUACUAACCUCCCUCUUGCUCUGAUAGCUGUGUAAUAAUUUUUGUAUCCUUCCCAGUGGGUUCCCAGUCUUUUCAUCUGCUAGGACCAUCUGGUAACUCAUCACCAAACAUGGUGCCUGACAGCAUCACUGGUGCCCUGCAAAUGUCCACCUGAUAAAUGAGUGAAUUAAUGAAUGAAUAAGAAAAUGAAGGAUACUGGCUGCCCCUGGCCAACUAUAUCUUGGCUUUGGCUUGUCAUUCUAGAUUUGUGAUACUGGCUUCUAGCAGAAGCUUAAAGCCUCUUUUUUGUUCUUUUGUUCCUCUAAUGUACUCCCCCUGCCCCUCCACCAAGAUGGGAAGGAGGGCUGAUCUGAGCAUUCAGGUUUCAGAAUGCUAAUUGGAUAGCAGCCAAUUAGAAGUAGAUCCGUAAGGAUUUAAUUAGACUUUCUGGGUAGAUUUGGAUAUUGCUUUCAAAAUGAAAAGGCCCCAAAUCCAGGUUCCCCUGGAUUAUAAUAGUUUUAUGGCUCUGCCCUGCUUUAAUUUGAGGCUAGUUGGCAAUACCCUGUCCAGGAAAAAGGAAUCUUCCAUGUAGUCCUGUCUGUUCUACUGAGGUCUACAUUUGGGUUUUAGCAAACAAUUCAGCUAAUAUAUAUUAUUUUUCUUUGUUCUCAAGGAUUUAAUGGCAAGAUGCCAUUAUAGACAAGAACAGGAUUCAGACACUUUCGUGUUAUGUGUUCUUGUCCAAAUACUGUGUCACUCUGCACUGGCAUCCCAAUCCCACCAACACCUUUAGCAGGAACUUCCUGUUUCAAUAACAUUUCUCAAUACUCUACCUGAUUGCUUAGAAUCCAUGAGACAGCCAUAUUCUCCAUGUCUAGGUCCCUAUCUUAUUUUUGUUGAGAUGGUGUUAAGACUUUAUUUGUGAGGCUUCUGGGGAAGAGGAGUAAGGUAUUGAUCCCACUGACUGGAUAAUUUGGGUCUCAAAAUGGAUAAUAAAUAAGCAUUACAUAUUUUGACCACUUCCUUGGAGGAGAACUUCUUGGAAUGUGCACCAUGUCCGCUGCACUUUUUUUGCACAGAUAUCUAAGUUGGAGAAACAUACUACUAGAUAAAUCAAUUUGUUCUCUUAGUACUCAUGAUAUGGUUCCUGGGAACUUCUGAUUCACCAAAUUAAUCUUGGCCAGGUACAUACCUGGCAGGAAUCCAAAAAUUCCCCAAGUCUCCUUGAAGUUCAGGAUCAUCAUUCUUAAUAAAUACACCGAGGGAAAAACCAUGGAGAGUUUGUCCCAGAUGCUGUGAAUCUGGCCCGGGGUACAUGAAGAAGUCCUUAAUUGCAGUCAUUUACAUGGUAGAUUCUCUAUAAUCAUUUAAUUUGCUAUAGGUCUAUGAUUUUUAGUCCUUCUUCUCUAAAUGAUUGAACAUGUAUAAUUCCCAUUUCAAUCAUAUUACCUGGAUGAACAAAAGUAACGCUAGACUCAUUCAUGCAUUCUGGUUGCCAAGGAAAAGGAAAAAAAAAACAAAACAAUCAACAGGAUGUUUAAACUGUCUUAGGGCAACUUCAGGCCAUAGUCACUGGUGUUCUUGCAGACUAUGAGAUAUUUUACAUUCUGAUAAGGGAUAAAAAUUCGUGCCUCACAUGGCUCCCAUCACACUAAGAUCUUGCAACAAUAACACUACUGAUUCAGACAUUAAUCUUAAGUAUCCAGGGAGCCCUAAAACAUUGUAUCCCACUAGCAAGGACCAUGGUAAUUGCCACGUAAAUCCCCUCCAUUAUGUGGCCCUUAUUAUGACCAGCCAGCCAAGGCUUGCCUUUAAAUCAUACCAAUUGAACCGAGCCUUGUAGAAACACUAUCACCUACGCAUACCUCUGCUUCUUUUCAUUAACCUGCUAUCCUCUUUACAAAUGGGAUUCUUCACCCACUCCCUUCUUCUAGAUUAGCAAUGCCCUGUUAAGUAAACGAACACGAAAUUCAAAGGGAAACAGGAGCAAUCAUCAUUACCAGCUGCCGUGUUAAGCAUUGCGAAAACGCUCACGAUUCACAGAAAAAUCCAUGCUGUUCUUUGAAGGCAUUCAAGCCUUAAUAGCUAGCUGGAUGAAUGUUUAACUUCUAGGCCAGGCACUACUCUGUCCCAACAAUAAGCCCUGUACAUUGGGAAAGGUGCCGAGACAUGAACUUUGGUCUUCUCUGCAAUCCAUCUGGAGCAUUCACUGACAACAUCGACUUUGAAGUUGCACUGACCUGGCCAGCCCUGCCACUUACCAGGUUGGGCUGUGGCUUGCCUUUUCACUUCUUGUGUCCUGUUUAAGAAAUAUCUGCUAUCCCAAGCAUCUGGCAUCUUUCUUGACAUAUGUAGCAGUUGCUUUUUGACAGCUUGCUUCUUCAGUGAAUGAAUAAAUUAAUAAAGAGAAAUGUGAUGUUCAGUGAUCCAUUUUGCAGAUUGCAAACUCCUAGAGAAGGGCUCAACAGUGAGUGCUGAGGCUGCACAGAGGAGGAAGGCAGCACAAUGAUGGAAGGCUUCCUAAAGAGAUAACACUAACAAAGUUGACCUUAGAAUUGGAGUGCCUGGGUUAGAACCCUGCUGGUACCACCUGCUUACUGCAUGCUUCUGAUGUGAGUUCAGGAGAAGACACUGGCAAGGACAGCAAAGAACAGGAGAACACUCUAGCUUCCCUGAUAGCAUUCAAGGUGCUGUCCAAACUGACUGUGAUGGCACCCUCCAGACAGACAGCGAUGCCACAUGUUCAAGAUGGCAGAAUCACUAUCAGCUUCAAUUCCUGAAUGACUGCAGAGCAAAAUUUCUUACCUGCAACAUACACUCUAUUUUCAGCCUCCCUGGACUGUUACAUAAUGAUACAUAAAAAUAUUUCUUGUGUUGAGGCAUCCCAAAUUUGAUUUAUUUGUCAUCACAGUCUAUCCUAUGAAUAUAUUUCUGAUCCAAAUAAUGCUAGAUUCAUGAGAGUUUAUAGUCCAGAGAUUUUUUUUUUUUUUUUGAGACAGAAUCUGUCUCCCAGGCUGGGGUGCAGUGGCAUAAUCUUAGCUCACUGCAACCUCUGCCUCCCGGGCUCAAGUGAUCCUCCCUCCUUAGCCUCCAUGAGUAGCUGGGACCACAGGUGUGCACCACCACACCCCGCUAAUUAUUUUGUAUUUUUUGCAGAGGGGGGUUUCACCACAUUGCCCAAGCUGGUCUCAAACUCCUAGACUUAAGGGAUCUGCCUGCCUUGGCCUCCCAAAAUGCUGAAAUUACACUUGUUAGCCAUAGUAAUAGUUCCUAGCCAUAGUCCGGAGAUAUUUUAAAAACUUUAGUGUGAGUUAUUUCUCUUUGCUAUAAUUCUCUCAUGCAUUUUGAAAACCUUUUCUGCCAUACAGUGGUUUUUGGGAAGUCCUUUUGGACAGACAUAUCACAGGAUGGAGAAACUAAAAAGAGAGAAUGCAUUAAAGAAAAAAUAGUACUUCGUAUUUCAGAAAUUACAAAAGGGUGUCAUGCCCCACAGCAUGGUGGGCAGUCAUUUGUAACCCACAGAACAUUGAGUUUCUAAAAUUUGAGUGUUUUUAACUUACGAAGGCCAACUUUACUGAUGAAGUGAUUACCCCAAAUAUGUGAAAUCCAUAUUUCAAGUACAAUAGUAGGAAAUUGGAAAUGGGUAGGUAUAUUUCUGACUGUCAAAGAGUACAAAGUAAAGAGGGGCCCCUGAAGAGUGACACUACUGGAAAAACAGAAGAAAAAAAAAACUGUUUCUUUUUUUAAAGAGCAGUCAACCUCAAACUUACUACUAAUGACUGUAUUUCAUUUCAGUCUACCCCAGUGGUUUUGUUUCUCAUAGACUGUAGAAUGUAAGCCUUUUUGGUCAUUCUGACAGAUUUUCCAGCACAAAGAAUAUCAGGGGAUUAACUGACAAAUCAUGGGUAUUUUUGGCAAGAUAGUAGAUUAACCCUGGAAAUUUUCUCCAUCUAUGAGAAAAAAAGACAUGUGCCACCUGAGGGUUACAAAGACUGUUGGUGGCUGACCUCAGGCUCCUGUCUUUUAUUUUAUUUUAUUUUUUUACCAUUUUACCUCUGCCCUGUUUUUUUAAAUUAUUAUUAUUUUACUUUAAGUUCUGGGAUACAUGUGCAGAACUGCGGGUUUGUUACAUGUGCCAUGGUGGUUUGCUGCACCUAUCAACCCGUCAUCUAGGUUUUAAGUCCCACAUGCAUUAGGUAUUUGUCGUAAUGCUCUCCCUCCCCUUGGGCCCCACCCCUCAACGCGCCCCACCCCUCAACAGGCCCCAGGGUGUGAUGUUCCUCUCUGUGUGUCCUUGUGUUCUCACUGUUCAGCUCCCACUUAUGAGUGAGAACACACAGUGUUUGGUUUUCUGUUCCUGUGUUAGUUGGCUGAGAAUUAUGGCUUGCAGCUUCAUCCAUGUCCCUGUAAAGGACAUGAACCCAUUAUUUUUUGUGGCUGCAUAGUAUUCCAUGGUAUAUGCCAUGUGCCAUGUUUGCUUUAUCAUUGAUGGGCAUUUGGGUUGGUUCCAAGUCUUUUCUAUUGUAAUUAGUGCUGCAAUAAGCAUACGUGUGCAUGUGUCUUUAUAGUAGAAUGAUUUAUAAUCCUUUGGGUAUAUACCCAGUAAUGGGAUUGCUGGGUCAAAUGGUAUUUCUGGUUCUAGAUGCUUGAGGAAUCAUCACACUGUCUUCCACAAUGGUUGAACUAAUUUACACUCCCACAAACAGUGUAAAAGCGUUCCUAUUUCUCCACAGCAUCACCAGCAUCUGUUGUUUCCUGACUUCUUAAUAAUUGCCAUUCUAACUGGUGUGAGAUGGUAUCUCAUCAUGGUUUUGAUUUGCAUUUUUCUAAUGACCAGUGAUGAUGAGUUUUUUUCAUAUGUUUGUUGGCCAAAUAAAUGUCUUCUUUUGAGAAGUAUCUGUUCAUAUCCUUUGCCCAUUUAUUGAUGGGGUUGCUUGAUUUUUUUCUUGUAAAUUUGUUUUCAGUUCCUUGUAAAUUCUAGAUAUUAGACCUUUGUCAGAUGGGUAGACUGCAAAAAUUUUCUCCCAUUCUAUAGGUUGCUUGUUCACUAUGGUGAUAAUUUCUUUUGCUGAACAGAAGCUCUUUAGUUAAUUAGAUCCCAUUUGUCAAUUUUGGCUUUUGUUGCCAUUGCUUUUGAUGCUUUAGUCAUGAAGUCUCUGCCCAUGCCUGUGUCCUGAAUGGUAUUGCCUGGGUUUUCUUCUAGGGUUUUUAUGGUUUGGGGUUUUACAUUCAAGGCUUUAAUCCAUCUUGAGUUAAUUUUUGUAUAAGGUAUAAGGAAGGGGUUCAGUUUCUGUUUACUGCAUAUGGCUAGCCAGUUUUCCUAGCACCAUUUAUUAAAUAGAAAGUCCUUUCCCCAUUGCUUGUUUUUGUCAGGUUUGUCAAAGGUCAGAUGGUUGUAGAUGUGUGGUGUUAUUUCUGAGGUCUCUGUUUCAUUGGUCUAUAUAUCUGUUUUGGUACCAGUACCAUGCUGUUUUGGUUACUGUAGCCUUGUAGUAUAGUUUGAAGUCAGGUAGUAUGAUGCCUCCAGCUUUGUUCUUUUUGCUUAGGAUUGUCUUGGCUAUAUGGGCUCUUUUUUGGUUCCAGAUGAAAUUUAAAGUAGUUUUUUUCUAAUGCUGCAAAAAAAGUCAAUGUUAGCUUGAUGGGAGUAGCAUUGAAUCUAUACAUUACUUUGCUCUGCCCCUGUUUAUACAUACAUGACUGAUAUGGUUUGGCUGUGUCCCUGCCCAAAUCUCAUCUUGAAUUCCCACAUGUUGUGGGAGGAACCUGGGGGGAGGCAACUGAUCAUGGGGCAAGUCUUUGCCAUGCUGUUCUUGUGAUAGUGAAUAAGUCUCAUGAGAUCUGACGGUUUUAAAAAGAGGAGUUCCCCUGCACAAAUUCUCUCUCUUUGCCUGCUGCCAUCCAUGUAAGGCAUGACUUACUCCUCCUUGCCUUCUGCCAUGAUUGUGGGGCUUCCUCAGCCAUGUGAAACUGUAAGUCCAAUUAAACAUCUUUCUUUUGUAAAUUGCCCCGUCUCAGGUAUGUCUUUAUCAGCAGUGUGAAAAUGGACUAAUACAAUGAUACAAGAGUAGUUAGAACAGUAUUUAUAAAUGUGCCAAUGUUAAUCAACAUAGGAGUUAACGAUUCCCUGUUUUUCUGUGAUUUCUCAUGCACCAAAAAUAUAUUAAGAUAAAAUAUACAAUUUUCAUUCACUAUUAAGUGACUAACCUCAUAUUGCUUUCAAAGGCAUUUAUUGGCACCUACUAUGUGUGAAUACACUCAGCUUGCUUAUGUGAAAGCUGAAUAACAAAGUGGUUAUGUAACUUAAUGAAGGUCCCACAACUAGGAAGUGGUAGAGUAACUUUCUAAACCACUUUCCUCCCAGUUUAGUUUCACAUUCAUGUGUUCAGUCAACAAGCACUUAUGGAAUCCUGAUGCUGGGCCCUACUUUAUGGUAGACACUGAAGAUACAGACUUUGUCCCUGCCCUCAUGGAGUUCACAGUUCAGGAGGGAAACCAGAUUUAAUCAAAUAACCACACAAAAAUUUGCUCGUAAAAUGAAACCAAUGCUAUAAGGAAAAUGAACAGGGUGAUUUGAGAGCAUAUAAUAGGAUUUUAUCAUAUCUGAUGAUUCAGAGUAAUGUUCUCCUAUAGAAGAGAUGUGGGAACUGACAUCUGAAGUGUCAGUGUUAGUUAGCCAGGUGUGGUAUAUAAAAGAUGACCAGCUUAUCCACCAAGAGGUAGAAUUGCUUUCCCCAUGCAUUAAAUCUGGACUGGCCUUUGACUUGCAGUGUCCAACAGAUAAAGUGGAAGUUUCUGCUCUUGCUCCCUUGGAAUAUUGUUCUGAGACUGCCAGCUGAAGAAGUCUAGUCUAGUCUAGUUUAUUAGUGGAUGAGAGGCUGGUAGAAAAGCGAAAAACUGUUGCAGCUGAGUCCCCUGAGUCCAACCAGUUGACAGCCUGCAGCGACUGUGUGAGGCCAUCUUAGAUUAUUCAGCCCCACUACAGAUGCCAAAUAUCUGCAGCUGUAAAAGUGAUUCCAGGCAAUAACAGAAGAACCAUCCUGCUGAUCCUAGCCCAAAUUGCUGGCCAUAGAACCAUGAGCUAAUAAGACAGCUGUGGUUAUAAUAUAUUGAGUUUGGGGUUGGCAUGUUACAUGGCAGUCAGUUAUUGAUACCCUGAGAGAAGUAUGGAAGCUGGGACUGAAUUCUAGGAAGAGGGAAAGAUAUAGGCAAAGGUCCUGAGGAGGGAAGAAUAAACUUUUAGAGAACUGAAAGAAAGAUGAUGAGAUAGAAGACUUCAGAGGGCUAGGCAAGGCCCAAGUCUAAAAGCAGUGUCUUAGAAUCUGUCAAAAAUCUCAUCUUUUUAUUGUUGUUUGGAACAAAGUCUUUCUUUAUUGCCUAGGCUGCAGUCAUGCAGUGGCACAAUUAAAGCUCACUUCAGCCUCGACCUCCUGAGCUCAAGCAAUCAGCCUCCUGACUAGCUGGGACUACAGGUGUGGAUGACUAUACCCAGCUAUUUUUUUUUUUUUAUUUUUUGUAGAAACAGGGUCUUACCAUGUUGCUCAGGCUGGUCUCAGACUUCUGGGCUCAAGCAAUCCUCCUGCCUCAGCCUCCCAAAGUGUUUGGAUUAUAGGCAUGAGCUAGCAUGCUCGGCUGUGAGUUCAAUUUUUUUCUUUAAAAGCAAGAGAAAGUCACUGUAGAGAUUUUGAGCUCAGAAGUGUCAUGAAUAGACUUGCACAUGUGCAUAUAUUGUUUUUUUUUUUUUUCACCAGGCGCAAACUUAUGGUGGAAGGGACCUACAUUAAGCACACAUAAGUAGAAGCUGGCCAGGCACGGUGGCUCAUGCCUGUAAUCCCAGCACUUUGGGAGGCCGAGACUGGUGGAUCACGAGGUCAGGAGAUCGAGACCAUCCUGGCUAACAUGGUGAAACCCCGUCUCUAUCAAAAAUACAAAAAAAAAUUAGCCAGGUAUGGUGGGGGGCGCCUAUACUCCCAGCUACUCGGGAGGCUAAGGCAGAAGAACGGC